GAUGAACGCUGGCGGCGUGCUUAACACAUGCAAGUCGAGCGAGGCAGUUAAGUUGAUUUCUUCGGAUUGAUUCUUAACUGACUGAGCGGCGGACGGGUGAGUAACGCGUGGGUGACCUGCCCCAUACCGGGGGAUAACAGCUGGAAACGGCUGCUAAUACCGCAUAAGCGCACCGAGCUGCAUGGCUCCGUGUGAAAAACUCUGGUGGUAUGGGAUGGGCCCGCGUCUGAUAGGCAGUUGGCGGGGUAACGGCCCACCAAACCGACGAUCAGUAGCCGGCCUGAGAGGGCGACCGGCCACAUUGGGACUGAGACACGGCCCAGACUCCUACGGGAGGCAGCAGUGGGGAAUAUUGCGCAAUGGGCGAAAGCCUGACGCAGCGACGCCGCGUGAGGGACGAAGGUCUUCGGAUUGUAAACCUCUUUCAGCAGGGACGAAGCGAAAGUGACUGUACCUGCAGAAGAAGCACCGGCUAACUACGUGCCAGCCGCCGCUGUAAAAC
rnacentral:rRNA from 1 species